rnacentral:lncRNA from 1 species
ACGAGGCCUCGGUCAGCGCGUCGUCCACCACGGUGGUGUCGCCGAAGGCCAUGCCCAGCGCAGGGGCCGUCGUCGACCCGGGGCCCUUGAUCACCUUCACCGCCGUCGGGUUGCUGCCCGACACGAUGUCGUGCAUGAAGAAGCUCAGGUGCGUCGUCGUGCCGUCGUCGGCCGCCUCUGCCGCCAACAACACGGAGAGGAGGAGGAGGAGGAGGACGGCCUUGGCAGCCAUGGUGGAUGGAUGGGUGGGUGUUCUUUUGGGUGGGUGGUUUGUGAUGUGCGGCAGAUCUGUUACACUUGUAUAUGGCGAUCCACGGAGCUGCAGCUGCAGGUGGUGGUUGGGCUGAGCCGCUGAGGAGAUGGAAUAGGAGGAGAUGAUGACGUAACCAAAGUGUUUAGUUGUUCACCAGCUGACCUACUGCUAUGACAGAGAUAGAGGGGUUGGUGAGCAUGAUUAACAAAAUGUUGUUAAUAAAGGACGCCGACCUGCCAGUUUUGCGUGCUUUGGGCGCUACCUCCAUCGGCAUCCACACCUGCAUGCGAGUUGCGACCACCUUUUGCUCCUUGCUUUUCCAAGAACACAUUUUCUUUGGAUUUAUUUCCUUUUUUUCAAAGGUCCACUACAUCACCACCAUUGGCUGAGUUAGUACGUUACAUAAUUGUCAACUGAGACAUCACCAUGCUUUUGACAGAUGUUUUGACAGGUUGAACGAAAGCGAGCACCCCGUGCCGCCGACGACGGCGAGCUCCCUCACGUCCGCCGCGAUGUCGUCGCGGCCCAUCACCGCGACGGUGCUGCCGUUGUAGCCCCCCGCCGUCAGCAGCAGGUUGGCGCACACCGUCAGCACGGCGCCCCCCGACUGCGACGUCAUCAUGUAGAAGCCCUGCACGCGGCCGACGGCGGCGGAGGAGGACGAGGGAUCCUCGGUGAGGGCAUCGUCGGUGACGGUCGUGUCCCCGAACGCCAGGCCCGGGACGGCGGAGGGGCCCUUGAUCACCUGCACCGCUGUCGGGUUGCUUCCCGUCAGGAUGUCGUGCAUGAACAAGUGCAGGUGCGUGGUGGUGCCGCCGUCAGCCGCCAGGACGGCCGCCGGCGACGACAUCGGAGCGAGGAGGAAGAGGAGGACGGCGGCAGCGAGGGAGGGAGCCAUAGGUGCUCUGCCUUGAUGAAUGGAUGCAACAUUACUGGCAGCUAGAAGGUGAUGGUCAGGUUUUUGUAAAGUCGAUCGAGCGAUGAGACGAGAUGACGAAUUGACGAUAGUAGUAGAUCCAUUUCGAGAGGUCACGAUCCAUUUUAGGUGAAAAAGGAACGCAUCGUAUCUGUCUAUUAGUAAAACAUUCCAUGAUUCGGCUUUGCCAAGUCCAAGUCCGAUCCUGGCUUCAGCAUCAGGACACAGCCAUUCGCCUUCGUUUUCGCCUGGUCUUCUGGUCGGUUCUUCCAAACGAAACGCUACAGUGUGCUACAGUGCUGUAACAGUAAUUUGACACCUCCAAACUUUGGCAACUAAACAAGACCUAAACAUGAGAGAAAAACACAUGCAUGCAUAACAGGUCAUGCCACACGUCACGUCGUUAAUUAAUGAUAACCACCUUUUUCAGUGGACUGUGGGCAUGCGACAGCUCCAGGCUGUGAGAUUCAAAGGUCAGCAAAGAGAACGGGGGAGGUGGUGGUGGUGUUGUGCCUGUCAUGUCACGGUGCUCAUGGUUACUGCAAUACUGCUGCUACACCAGUUGCUCCUCCAAUGGCUAUAUUGUCAGUUUGUCACGUCCUGGGUGUCGAUUUCUCGUUGCACGAAGCAGAGACUGCUAUCCCAAGGACAUUAUCAGCAGACCCAAAGGACAGCGGCUGUAACCAAUAAUUUCUUAUGCUCACGCUUAUCUCGAGUCUUUACCUACUGCUAUGACAGAGAUAGAGGGGUUGUUGAGCAUGAUUAACAAAAUGUUGUUAAUAAAGGACGCCGACCUGCCAGUUUUGCGUGCUUUGGGCGCUACCUCCAUCGGCAUCCACACAUGCAUGCGAGUUGCGACCACCUUUUGCUCCUUGCUUUUCCAAGAACACAUUUUCUUUGGAUUUAUUUCCUUUUUUUCAGAGGUCCACUACAUCACCACCAUUGGCUGAGUUAGUACGUUACAUAAUUGUCAACUGAGACAUCACCAUGCUUUUGACAGAUGUUUUGACAGGUUGAACGAAAGCGAGCAAGCCCAUGCCCAGGCGUCAGAAGAAUAAGCAUAUGAGCAUCACAUCCCAACCAACGGACAACAAACUGUACACAUCGACAUGCUACCAAGCUCUGACAUACCGCACCACCAAACUAAACGUAGGAUCCAACCACCGCAACAACAACGGCGACAAACACCGCACUGACCCACCCUCCAACCCGCACGGCGGCGGCCGACGACGAGCCGCCGACGGGCGUCGAGGAGUCGAUGGUGGCGCCGCCGCCCGUGGUGACGUACACGUCGAGCUCGACGGUGGCGUCGGGCCCGUUCAUGCUGUUGGUCUUCCACAGCACGUACCCCGUGGCCAUCCUGAACCUCCCCGUGCCGCCGACGACGGCGAGCUCCCUCACGUCCGCCGCGAUGUCGUCGCGGCCCAUCACCGCGACGGUGCUGCCGUUGUAGCCCCCCGCCGUCAGCAGCAGGUUGGCGCACACCGUCAGCACGGCGCCCCCCGACUGCGACGUCAUCAUGUAGAAGCCCUGCACGCGGCCGACGGCGGCGGAGGAGGACGAGGGAUCCUCGGUGAGGGCAUCGUCGAUGACGGUCGUGUCCCCGAACGCCAGGCCCGGG